AGUGAACGCUGGCGGUAGGCCUAACACAUGCAAGUCGAACGGCAGCACAGGAGAGCUUGCUCUCUGGGUGGCGAGUGGCGGACGGGUGAGGAAUACAUCGGAAUCUACUCUGUCGUGGGGGAUAACGUAGGGAAACUUACGCUAAUACCGCAUCCGACCUAAGGGUGAAAGCAGGGGAUCUUCGGCCCUUGCGCGAUUGAAUGAGCCGAGUUCGGAUUAGCUAGAUGGCGGGGUAAAGGCCCACCAAGGCGACGAUCCGUAGCUGGUCUGAGAGGAUGAUCAGCCACACUGGAACUGAGACACGGUCCAGACUCCUACGGGAGGCAGCAGUGGGGAAUAUUGGACAAUGGGCGCAAGCCUGAGCCAGCCAUACCGCGUGGGUGAAGAAGGCCUUCGGGUUGUAAAGCCCUUUUGUUGGGAAAGAAAUCCAGCUGGCUAAUACCCGGUUGGGAUGACGGUACCCAAAGAAUAAGCACCGGCUAACUUCGUGCCAGCAGCCGCAGUAA
rnacentral:rRNA from 1 species